GGAGGGUGCAAGCGUUAAUCGGAAUUACUGGGCGUAAAGCGCACGCAGGCGGUCUGUCAAGUCGGAUGUGAAAUCCCCGGGCUCAACCUGGGAACUGCAUUCGAAACUGGCAGGCUAGAGUCUUGUAGAGGGGGUAGAAUUCCAGGUGUAGCGGUGAAAUGCGUAGAGAUCUGGAGGAAUAUCGGUGGCGAAGGCGGCCCCCUGGACAAAGACUGACGCUCAGGUGCGAAAGCGUGGGAGCAAACAGGAUUAGAUACCCUGGUAGUCCACGCCGUAAACGAUGUCGACUUGGAGGUUGUUCCCCUUGAGGAGUGGCUUCCGGAGCUAACGCGUUAAGUCGACCGCCUGGGGAGUACGGCCGCAAGGUUUA
rnacentral:rRNA from 1 species